GAUUAAGUUAUUAAGGGCGCACGGUGGAUGCCUUGGCACUAGAAGCCGAUGAAGGACGUUACUAACGACGAUAUGCUUUGGGGAGCUGUAAGUAAGCUUUGAUCCAGAGAUUUCCGAAUGGGGAAACCCAGCAUGAGUUAUGUCAUGUUAUCGAUAUGUGAAUACAUAGCAUAUCAGAAGGCACACCCGGAGAACUGAAACAUCUUAGUACCCGGAGGAAGAGAAAGAAAAUUCGAUUCCCUUAGUAGCGGCGAGCGAAACGGGAAGAGCCCAAACCAACAAGCUUGCUUGUUGGGGUUGUAGGACACUCUAUACGGAGUUACAAAGGACGACAUUAGACGAAUCAUCUGGAAAGAUGAAUCAAAGAAGGUAAUAAUCCUGUAGUCGAAAAUGUUGUCUCUCUUGAGUGGAUCCUGAGUACGACGGAGCACGUGAAAUUCCGUCGGAAUCUGGGAGGACCAUCUCCUAAGGCUAAAUACUCUCUAGUGACCGAUAGUGAACCAGUACCGUGAGGGAAAGGUGAAAAGCACCCCGGAAGGGGAGUGAAAUAGAACCUGAAACCGUGUGCUUACAAGUAGUCAGAGCCCGUUAAUGGGUGAUGGCGUGCCUUUUGUAGAAUGAACCGGCGAGUUACGAUUUGAUGCAAGGUUAAGCAGUAAAUGUGGAGCCGUAGCGAAAGCGAGUCUGAAUAGGGCGUUUAGUAUUUGGUCGUAGACCCGAAACCAGGUGAUCUACCCUUGGUCAGGUUGAAGUUCAGGUAACACUGAAUGGAGGACCGAACCGACUUACGUUGAAAAGUGAGCGGAUGAACUGAGGGUAGCGGAGAAAUUCCAAUCGAACCUGGAGAUAGCUGGUUCUCUCCGAAAUAGCUUUAGGGCUAGCCUCAAGUGAUGAUUAUUGGAGGUAGAGCACUGUUUGGACGAGGGGCCCCUCUCGGGUUACCGAAUUCAGACAAACUCCGAAUGCCAAUUAAUUUAACUUGGGAGUCAGAACAUGGGUGAUAAGGUCCGUGUUCGAAAGGGAAACAGCCCAGACCACCAGCUAAGGUCCCAAAAUAUAUGUUAAGUGGAAAAGGAUGUGGCGUUGCCCAGACAACUAGGAUGUUGGCUUAGAAGCAGCCAUCAUUUAAAGAGUGCGUAAUAGCUCACUAGUCGAGUGACACUGCGCCGAAAAUGUACC
rnacentral:rRNA from 1 species